UUAACCUGUGCGCACUGAUUGCCUCACUACGCACAGGUGCAGCCACCCCUGUUCCUGGGUCCAAUCAGCCCGGCCAGUUAUCCAAUUCCUAACCAAUUAGACAACUAGCCAGGUCUAAUUAGCUUGACCCAGGACAGGUGUGGCUGCUUAAACCAGCCAUCCCCACACCACAAACAUUUUUUUGCCUGGUGUGCCGUGUCUUUUACUGCUACCACAGAGUGAAGAGUAAGGCACUGAUGAUGAGAUAAAUCUUUCGGUUACACAGGUUUAUAAAGGGCCAUACUAAAAAUACAGUUAGACUUGUUGUAAAUUCUUAGAAAGCUUAUACUGUCACCUGUUGGAUAGAUUAAUUAUCAAUCAAGCCAGAUUGUACUACAAAGGGCGACAACUCCGUAAACAGAAUUUGUGGUAUUACUCGCAGAUAUUUUGGAAGUUACCCAGGCGUCACAAAUGCACGUAUAUUUCACAAACAGAUUGUCCAAGAAAAUAUAUGACCAUCAGUCCCAAAAGGGACAUCUCUACACGUAAAACCAAUGGUAAGGUUAUAUAUUUAUUCCAUAUUUAGUCCCAGAUAUUGACAGUAGAAUGACAUGGUACAAUUUUAGAAAAAAAUGUCUUAUUUAUUUAGUUAUUCAGUGAGCAGUGUUUUCCCUUCUGUAUUAGCGGGGUCAUUCCUAUGUUUCCAGGGUCCUAUGUUCCCCAGAUUUAUAUGACAUAUAAUGGGAACAUGACAAAGGGUCCUAUGUUCCUCAGCUCUACAUGAAAUCUUAUCUGUGUUCAGUAGAUAGAGACAGAGACAGUAAAUCAAUGAUUUUCUGUCUUACUCAAGAAAAUGAUGUCAACUAGGUCUAUCAGCAAACAAAUGGCUUAGCUAUUCUCAGAAGUCCUCAAUAAUAAUAUUUUCCAAGAAAUUAUGAAAAAUUGUUCACAACGUUUCGUCAGGUGCAGUAGAACUUAGGACCCUGGGAACAUAAAUACGCUCCCGUAUUAGCAUAUCUUAAGGCUAUUUUUGGGUUUAUCCUUGACGGAAUACGAAUAUUUAGUGGUGAAAGAAUAUUUUUAUGAAUGCCCAGAUAGACACUAUUGUCCAGUGUGUUGUGGGUGGUGGGUGUAGUUGCAGAUGAGACUGCAGGGAGGGGGUGCUUGUUAAAUGAAUGACCGGUGCGACAAUGGUGGUGUUGCGAAACUCCAUUUUGUAAUUUAAAUACUCAGUAUUUGUAAAUGCUGAAUUUCAAAUAAUUUCUAAAUAAGUAUUUAAAAGUAAUUAAAAUACUUUAAAGGUGCAGUGUGUAGAAUUUAGUAGCAUCUAGCGGGACGGACUUGGCAGAAAUGGAAUAUAAUAUCCAUAAGUAUGUUUUAAUUAGUGUAUAAUCCCAUGAAAAUAAGAAUCGUUGUGUUUUCGUUACCUUAGAAUGAGCCCUUUAUAUCUACAUAGGGAGCGGGUCCUCUUCCACGGAGGCUGCCAUGUUGCACUGCCAUGUUUCUACAGUAGCCCAGAACGGACAAAUGGCUCUAGAGAGGGCCUUAUGCGUAUUUUUUUUUUUUGCGUUUUUAAUUUUUGUGGGUCACGCGAAUGCACCAGUUGGAUGACGAAGAAGAAGAAAGAAGAGGAAGUGGUUGCUGGCAUGCUGGCUAACUAUUUUGUGUUUUGCAAUGUUUUGACAAAUGGAGGAUCAUAGUUAUUAUUUAGCACAAGAAAAAUCAAGGGAGCGUGAAUCCUCGUCAUCAAAGAAGCAAAAGCAUGAAGAAUCAAAACAAAAUCGGGACAGGCAACGGCAUAAAACAAGGAUAAACAUUGGUCUGGCCUUUCCCAAAUGGAAAUUGCUGAUGAGGGACAGAUGUUUUCAGAGUGAUGCCGAAGUUGCCUGUUUUCUGCUGGACAGGUAAUUUAGCCUACAAAUCUAAAUGCAAUUUGUUGUUUGAUAGCUUUAGCUAGAACAUGGCCAUGGGCAUAGUUACCAACACAAGUAACCUUUUCCCCGUGUCAGUGUUGAAAAAUAUCGAAUUGCUACCGGGAUUGUAAUUUUACAUUUAUGCGCCAAAACUAGAAUGAAUCUAUAUUAUUUAUUUUGGUAUAGUUUUCCAGGCGAGCCAACCCUCCCAGCACCUUAGGACAUAACAGAAUGUAUUACAGGGGUAUGCGACUGUCAUGUAGCACUUAUUUUCUUGAUGUUGCUGUUGUUUCUCCAGCUAUGAGAGAGGUCCCGCAACAUUGACUCCCAUGAAGGCAAAACAUUUUCAAGUCACAACUCCAGCAGUGUCUAGCAUUGGUCCUUCUAGUGGGACGGACAGGCAAGUCAUCGCAUUGAAAUAAUUGUGCUGUCCUAAUAUGUUUGAUUACAAACAAAAAGUUGCUGAUUAAUGGGUUUUUCUUUCUAAGUGUAUGUUUACUGUUGUAUCUCCAUAUGUGUGAUGUAUAGAACGUGCUCUGGUGAUUCUUUACAGACAUGAGCAUCUGAAUGUCAUUGCAGAAGCCACAGAAAUUCAGGGCCUUGAACAAAGGUAACAGUUUUUGCACUACAUGUCUUGCAUUUGUAUAUAUUCAUAAUUUAUAUAUUUUUAAUGUUUUUAUUUCUGCAGCUUAUAUAGCAUGAACAUUGUUGAGGAGGACAUGGAGGAAAAUGUUUUUAAUGACCCCUUGGACAGUGUAACUGAAGGUUCCCCUUCCUUUCAUAAAAAAGAUGAUGGAGAGAAUGAUGACAGCUCUGAUGAAGAGUAUCUUCUACCAAUUAGUAUACGACUGGGUGGAGCAUUAUAGAAAGCACCAUCUAUUGAUCGACUUGAAGUUAUUGGAAUCGACGAGACCAGCCUGCACAUGAAGACCUUCCUGAUGAGCCUUCUCCCUGUGAUCAGGCACCUGUUUUCCCAGGCCCACAGGAUGUCCUUUGUGAAGAUGACAUCAUAGGUACCAGAGCUUCAAUAGUAUAUGAGCACUGCUUGAGACAACUGGCUACACUUGUGAUCCUGCCCGUGGAUAAAUGUACAAUCCUUUGGAAGACUGGUGUGGUGUGCGAAUGCGUUGCCCCCUUUGAGAUCAACAUCACUUCCAAGGGCACAGCAACGAGUGUCGUAUGGAUCUGUCCGAAUGGACACAGCGUGUGAAGGUGGAAUUCCCAGCCUGUAAUGAAUUUUGAGAUGCAAGCUGGAGAUUUUCUCUUGUCCACCAAAAUUUUGUUGUCUGGCAAUAACUAUGCAAAGGUUGCCCUCUAGUUAAAAUUUAUGAACAUGGGGAUGGUGAACAAGAACACCUUCUCCAUUCAGGACACGUACUGUGUCGACACAGUAAAGGACUUCUGGGAAGAGAGGAGGACUGAUGCCCUCAGUCGCCUUCAAGGGAAAGAUGCUGUGGUCCUAGAUGGCAGAAAUGACUCGCUAGGCCAUUGUGCACAGUACUGCAGCUACACCACCAUGGAGAACGACACCAAAGAGAUAAUUCAUGUUGCCACCAUAGACAAGUGGCAGACAUCCUGGAACUCUGUCGUCAUGGAGAUGGAGGGUUUUAUCGAGACUGUGGACAAGUUUACAUCAGAGAUAAAGCUAGUGGAGAUCUGCACAGAUGCUCAUGGCCAGAUCGGAGCCCUUAUGAACCCAGACAAAGGCAGACACAAGGACCUUGGAAUUCAUCACAGUCUGGACAUGUGGCAUGGUGCCAAGAACCUGGCCAAAAAAAAAUUGCUGCUGCAGCAAAGAUAAAAGGACAGUCCAUUCUCUUCAACUGGCUGAAAGACAUCGUAAACCAUUUUUGGUGGUGUUGUAAGACAGCUGACACAACUGAGCAGUUUCUUGCACUAUGGGUUGGCAUCAUUCACCAUGUCUGUGACAUUCACACCUGGACUAUGGGAAGCUGCCAACAUGGGCCCCUGGAAGAAACACCUGGAAAGGAGUGGAUCCAGAGAGGCUCCAAGUGCCACAAAGGUUUAGUGGACAUCGUUCUCAAUAAGCGUUGGCAGAAGGAUGUACAGAAAUAUCUGUGCUUCAGAUCAACUGCAGAACUGGAGUCAUUCUAGAAUCAUAUUCUGGUGUAUGCCAGCAAGCGCUACGCUUUCAGUCCCCCAGUUCAUGAGGCAAGAGUUCUGCUUGCUGCUCUGGACUAUAAUUUCCACCGGAAUAGACCAACAACAAAAACAGCUGAAGGAAAAGAGAUUUUCAGAAGGCUGUACAAGAAAAACGGCAGAAGAUACAGCGUAUAUGCCUUAAAAUCUGAAGUUGCUGAGUUGCAAGCAAGAAUUGUGAGGAGGAGACUCACAAUCGACCAGAUGAUCCCAGAGGGCUUGGAUCGGUGCCCCCCAUACCUGCCAGCCAUAUCAGAUGUGUUGCAGAUACAAGUCAGGAGAGGUCUAGGACCAGUUUUCCAUGCAGCUGCUGAUUUGGAAUGAUCCAGAUUGGAGUUCACCAUGCUUCUUCCAACAAUAAAUAGCUGAAUAAAGGUGCUACUCAGGCAGGACCAUAGAAAUAAGGAGCUGGAGCACAACGAUAAACUCCAAGCUUUUAGUGUUACAACAGAUGAAUGUUUCGACAGCUUAUUCUGUCUUUAUCCAAGUCAACUCUGAUAUCGAAAUGUUUGUCUGUUUGUACACUAUUUUUUUGGUUCAAAUUUGUAAAGUACAGCUGCCUCCUGUAAUGAAAAUAUACAUUACCAUUACCUGAAGCGGUAAUGAAAAUGCACUGACACUGCAGGGAAGUACUGUCAUACUUAUUGUAUAAGUACAUGUUUAUAUGUAUAUCAUUGCAAUAAAUACAGCACGUACAUCUGA